ACUUCGAUGCAGCUUUUGAUGAAAGAUCUCGGCAAUUGUCAAGGGGAUUAGUAGCCAGGAACAGUAAGGGCAGGGUUCUGGUUUCGUGCUCGGAGAUCACGAGUGAGUUGCAUCGGCUUUUGCUGCUGAGGCUCUCACAUGUCGCACAGCAGUUCGACUCGGUAUUAACAUGCAAUAGACAUCAGUUAUCAUUGAGGGUGAUUCAUUAGCAAUAAUAAAGAAGUGCAAGUUGGAUAGUAUAGAUAAUUCACAGAUAGGGGCUUAUAUCUACGACAUUUAGAGGUCACUGUCAAUUUCCAAGAAUUUCAGAUUUGAGUUCAUCCCACGAACAGCAAAUGAACUAGCACAUAGUAUAGCCACUGAAUCAAUGAAGGAAAAGAAAGAGUUUUACCUGAUAGGAUGGGUUCCUAAAUUCGCUGAGAAACAUGCUGACAAAGAGAGGGUGCGAGAACUAGACUGAACACGAAGGUCAGAUGAAACCCUGGAGAGCGUUUGAAAUGGAAAUAAAAAGACAAGGAGAAUACAACUCUCUGUGGAAAUCUGGAUAGGGUUUUGCAGAAAGGAUGAGGAAAAUGUAAGAAUGAAGGCAAAAUGUGAAAUGGAGAGAAGAGAUUAGUAAUCAAUAGCUUCAGUGGAAGAGCUCUCCUUGGAAAUCUGGAAGAGUCAUGAAGAAGAAACGACAGACGAUUAGAUGGGACGGG
rnacentral:lncRNA from 1 species